UAGAGUUUGAUCCUGGCUCAGAUUGAACGCUGGCGGCAGGCCUAACACAUGCAAGUCGAGCGGAUGAGUGGAGCUUGCUCCAUGAUUCAGCGGCGGACGGGUGAGUAAUGCCUAGGAAUCUGCCUGGUAGUGGGGGACAACGUUUCGAAAGGAACGCUAAUACCGCAUACGUCCUACGGGAGAAAGCAGGGGACCUUCGGGCCUUGCGCUAUCAGAUGAGCCUAGGUCGGAUUAGCUAGUUGGUGGGGUAAAGGCCUACCAAGGCGACGAUCCGUAACUGGUCUGAGAGGAUGAUCAGUCACACUGGAACUGAGACACGGUCCAGACUCCUACGGGAGGCAGCAGUGGGGAAUAUUGGACAAUGGGCGAAAGCCUGAUCCAGCCAUGCCGCGUGUGUGAAGAAGGUCUUCGGAUUGUAAAGCACUUUAAGUUGGGAGGAAGGGCAGUAAAUUAAUACCUUGCUGUUUUGACGUUACCAACAGAAUAAGCACCGGCUAACUUCGUGCCAGCAGCCGCGGUAAUA
rnacentral:rRNA from 1 species